AUGGCGGGUUGCCUUGGGAUUGCACCGGCCAUCCAAGACCGUGCCAAGGAGGUGUUCAGGAAGAUGGAGAAGGAUAGGGCAUGGCCGCCGGUUCUCAGCAAGACCAACCACCGAAAUAAUGAUCUGCUAUACGCAGCGUGCCUCGCCAUUGCAUGCCGUAGUGAGGGCUCACCGCGGUCGAUCAAUGAGCUAGCUUCGGCAACAGCUGAAGGCUCGGCGGCAAGAAGGGAAAUCGCAAAGCUAACCGCGCGCAUCAGGAAGCACCUCGGGGAGGAGGGCGUCGGGCUGACGGGCGUCGGUGUGGUGCGUGCAUCGAACUAUUUGUGCCACUUUGGUAAGCAACUUGGUAUGAGUGGUCGGGAAGUCGCAUCGGCUAAGGAGGCGGCGAGACGGCUGGAGGAGGACGACCUUGGCAUGCGAAACACCGGCGAGUCCAUAGCGGCGGGCAUCGUGUGCAUGGUCCUAGAGCAUGGCGAUGACAAUAGGCCCGUCGUCAGUGAUGUGGCAAAGGUCACCGGCGUGUCAAUGCAUACCAUCCAGGUGGUGUGCAAGAAGUUGCGCCCGCAUGCCGAGAUGCUAUUUGAAUGA
rnacentral:rRNA from 1 species